UAGAAAAAAGCCAUUGUCGCGAUUAAAUGGCUGAAGUUUAGGUAGUAAAUUGUAAAUUUAUGUAUA
rnacentral:tRNA from 1 species